UUUUAUAUAGUUUAAGUAAAACACUACAUUUUCAAUGUAAAAUUGAGGUUACUCUAUAAAUA
rnacentral:tRNA from 1 species